rnacentral:rRNA from 1 species
AACGAACGCUGGCGGCAGGCCUCAAACAUGCAAGUCUAGGGGGUGUAGCAAUACAUCACCGGCGGACGGGUGCGUAACACGUGGGAAUAUACCUUUCGGUACAGAACAACUGAGGGAAACUUCAGCUAAUACCGUAUACGUCCUUACGGAGAAAGAUUUAUCGCCGAAGGAUUAGCCCGCGUUCGAUUAGCUAGUUGGCGAGGUAAUGGCUCACCAAGGCAACGAUGGAUAGCUGUUCUGAGAGGAAGAUCAGCCACACUGGGACUGAGACACGGCCCAGACUCCUACGGGAGGCAGCAGUUGGGAAUCUUGGACAAUGGGGGAAACCCUGAUCCAGCCAUGCCGCGUGAGUGAUGAAGGCCUUCGGGUUGUAAAGCUCUUUUACCCGGGAAGAUAGUGACUGUACCGGGAGAAUAAGCUCCGGCUAACUUCGUGCCAGCAGCCGCCGCCGUAAU